rnacentral:rRNA from 1 species
CAGCAGCCGCGGUAAUACGUAGGGUGCGAGCGUUAAUCGGAAUUACUGGGCGUAAAGCGUGCGCAGGCGGUUAUAUAAGACAGAUGUGAAAUCCCCGGGCUCAACCUGGGACCUGCAUUUGUGACAGUAUAGCUAGAGUACGGUAGAGGGGGAUGGAAUUCCGCGUGUAGCGGUGAAAUGCGUAGAUAUGCGGAGGAACACCGAUGGCGAAGGCAAUCCCCUGGACCUGUACUGACGCUCAUGCACGAAAGCGUGGGGAGCAAACAGGAUUAGAUACCCCAGUAGUCCCUGUCUCUUAUAC